rnacentral:rRNA from 1 species
UCGAGGAUCAUUCGCAAUGCGCGAAAGCGUGACGGUGCGACGCCGCGUGCAGGAUGAAGGCCUUCGGGUCGUAAACUGCUGUCAUUGGGGAACAAUGACCCCGGUGCUAAUAUCACCGGGGAGUGAUAGUACCCAAAGAGGAAGCCACGGCUAACUCUGUGCCAGCAGCCGCGGUAAUACAGAGGCGGCGAGCGUUGUUCGGAUUUACUGGGCGUAAAGGGUGCGUAGGCGGUUCCGUGUGUCGGAUGUGAAAUGUCACCACUCAACGGUGGAAUUGCAUUCGAAACUGCGGGGCUAGAGUACAGGAGAGGAGAGCGGAAUUCCUGGUGUAGCGGUGAAAUGCGUAGAUAUCAGGAGGAACACCGGUGGCGAAGGCGGCUCUCUGGACUGAUACUGACGCUGAGGCACGAAAGCUGGGGGAGCAAACA